UCUCCAGAGAGCUCUUACACAUAAGUUUGAUUAUGUAUCUGGAAACAUUGUAGCCCAACUUUAAAAAAAAUCUUUAUUUAGCUGACUGUAAAACUACUGAGGUUUUGCCCUCUAUAUCCCUACAUCCCUCUGUUCAGUGGUCCACUGUCUUUGUCUACAUCAGCCCAUUGACCAACUUGGUUUAGACAGCACCUCGAAAAUUGAGGGUGACUGUGUUUGAUUUUUAUGAACAGUACAUUACAUGAUGCUGUUGGCCAAGAAGAUGCUUCUUUUAAAUAAACCACUAGGGGGCAGUGUUCAUCCAUAGAUAACUCCUGACCCUUUGAGUUAAUACAGCUCAGGAAAACAAAAAGACUACUUCAAAAUUACAUUUCUCUCUGGCUCUACUUGUCGGAGGUUUGUGUUUGUGUUUGAAACCGGCAUUAAACAUUUCCUCUAUCCUCCAAUUUAAAUAUUCUCUGUUGCCUUUUUCAAGAUAAAAAUGUUGAGUUGACCAGGAACAAUGAAAAGAUCAAACUAGUUCAUAUUCAUUCUUAAACCACAGAGAACAAAUAACUGACUAAAAACUGGGUUGUAAAAAUUCCUCCUCCAGCCAUUAGAGGCACUAGAGAGCAAGGCUUUUAACACUCACACAUCUUCAGGUCCCCUGUUGGUAACAAAUUGUAAAACAAGGUGAUUCUGACAUGAUUUAAAAUGAUUUAAAGCUAUACAAGAGAGGACCUCAAAAAUGUCACCAAUGUGCCGGUGAGUCCACAAUUGGUGAACGUGUAAUGACGGGGCGGUCAACUCUUUGAUAGGUGUACCAGUACACACACACACACACACACACAUACUGGAUUCCUUUAAUCAGCUCUAACUGACAUGCAGGAAUUGAACUGCACCAGCAGAGUGCGUGCAUCAGCCUCUGUGCCCACGUCUGCCCCAUUAGCUUCAGAUAAUAGCUCAGCUUUUCACACUCGGGAUGGCCCACCAGCCAUAUGGGCCAUUAACAUUUUUAGCCUUGGAGCGCUGAGCGUCACUGAUUGCAGCAGUUUCAGGAUGAGGCUGAUAGACAGCGCAGAGAGGGACUGAUGGGAAUCUAAUCGCGGUAACAUUAGCUCAUGGCAACAAGCAAACACCUUCAGCAGGCAAUUUAUGUUCACAGCAACCAAUAUCACAUCCAAC